rnacentral:tRNA from 1 species
AUUUAUAUAGUUUAAAGCUAAAACCUCUCAUUUUCAAUGAGAAAAUAAGAUUUAUCUUUAUAAGUA